AGGGUGUAAACACUGCAGACUUGGUGUUGGAGGCCCUUUGGGGGGCGAUUCAGUGCCGGAGAGAAGUUGUUAAGUCUGCUACUUGGGGAGUACGUCCGCAAGGAUGAAACUUAAAGGAAUUGGCGGGGGAGGCACCGCAACGGGAGGAGCGUGCGGUUUAAUUGGAUUCAACACCGUAAACUCACCAGGGAAGACUGUUACAUGAAGGCCGAGAUGAAGACUCUGCUAGAUUUUCAGAGAGGUGGUGCAUGGCGUCAGUGACU
rnacentral:rRNA from 1 species